rnacentral:rRNA from 1 species
AGAGUUUGAUCCUGGCUCAGAAUGAACGCUGGCGGCGUGCCUAACACAUGCAAGUCGGAUGUGCCGCAAGGUGCAUGGCAGACGGGUGAGUAACGCGUGGGCAAUCUACCUUUUAGUGGGGAAUAACGAUCCGAAAGGAUUGGUAAUACCGCAUGUGAUCAUCGACUGGGAUGUUGGUGAUGAAAGCCGGGGACCGCAAGGCCUGGCGCUAGGAGAGGAGCCCGCGUCUGAUUAGUUAGUUGGUGGGGUAACGGCCUACCAAGACAUCGAUCAGUAGCCGGCCUGAGAGGGUGAUCGGCCACACUGGAACUGAGACACGGUCCAGACUCCUACGGGAGGCAGCAGUGGGGAAUUUUGCGCAAUGGACGAAAGUCUGACGCAGCAACGCCGCGUGGGUGAUGAAGGUCUUCGGAUCGUAAAACCCUGUCGUCGGGGACGAAGGUGGGCUUGUUAAUAGCGAGUUUACUUGACGGUACCCGGAGAGGAAGCCCCGGCUAACUCUGUGCCAGCAGCCGCGGUAAUACAGAGGGGGCAAGCGUUAUUCGGAAUUAUUGGGCGUAAAGGGUGCGUAGGCGGUCGUUUAAGUAGGAUGUGUAAUCCCCGGGCUCAACCUGGGAACUGCAUUUGUGACUGUAUAGCUAGAGUACGGUAGAGGGGGAUGGAAUUCCGCGUGUAGCAGUGAAAUGCGUAGAUAUGCGGAGGAACACCGAUGGCGAAGGCAAUCCCCUGGACCUGUACUGACGCUCAUGCACGAAAGCGUGGGGAGCAAACAGGAUUAGAUACCCUGGUAGUCC